ACCUAGCUGACGAGUCCUAAAUGGGACGAAACGCGCGUCCUGGAU
rnacentral:hammerhead_ribozyme from 1 species